AUUGAACGCUGGCGGCAUGCUUUACACAUGCAAGUCGAACGGCAGCGCGGGCUUCGGCCUGGCGGCGAGUGGCGAACGGGUGAGUAAUGCAUCGGAACGUGCCCAGUAGUGGGGGAUAGCCCGGCGAAAGCCGGAUUAAUACCGCAUACGACCUGAGGGUGAAAGCGGGGGACCGAAAGGCCUCGCGCUAUUGGAGCGGGCGAUGUCGGAUUAGCUAGUUGGUGGGGUAAAGGCGUACCAAGGCGACGAUCCGUAGCUGGUCUGAGAGGACGACCAGCCACACUGGGACUGAGACACGGCCCAGACUCCUACGGGAGGCAGCAGUGGGGAAUUUUGGACAAUGGGGGCAACCCUGAUCCAGCCAUGCCGCGUGCGGGAAGAAGGCCUUCGGGUUGUAAACCGCUUUUGUUCGGGAAGAAAUCCUCUGGGCUAAUACCCCGGGGGGAUGACGGUACCGGAAGAAUAAGCACCGGCUAACUACGUG
rnacentral:rRNA from 1 species